CCUGUCACUCCAGUAGCAGUGCCUGCCAUAGACGGCACCAAGAAGGAUCGCUCUCAUAUCUGCCACAUUGGGACAGCAAUCGGUCCUGCUAUCCCCGCUUUCUUUGCUUCGCAAGUUUGCAUAUGGUGUUAAACGAUUGCUACUCUGAAACCUGAAUAGUGUUCAGUGGCAGACGUAUUUAACCCUUGACAUGCUUUACGUAGGCAGGGGGUGGGGGAGGUAUUGCAAUAAAUGUCCUCACAGAUGGACUGGAAAGGGCCUUCACUUCUCUGGAUGGCACAGAGUUAAAAUGUUUGCCUGCAGUGGGUCCUACCAAAGGUAAGCAAAAUAGCAACAAGGCAACUAAAUAAAGAAGGUGACAACACAGCAUAAAGAUGAAGCAACCACCCAGCCCAGUGCUGUUUCUAUGAAGUGAUGACAUCACCAAAACUUCUGAGAUGCAGUUUGCAAAACCACUGCCAAGGGUUUAGAUGUAUUUUUUUCUUGAAGUGAUUUUAAUGGAAUAUUGAAAUGCCAUUGUAAUUUAAGAUAUUAAGAGUUUCUCCUGUUUAAACACUAGACUGUACUCCUGGAAAGGAGAAAUAAGUGAAUCUUGGUAAACAAAGAGAAAUAACAUUU